rnacentral:misc_RNA from 1 species
AUUUCAACCUGAAGGAGU